rnacentral:rRNA from 1 species
GGAUCAUCUUCGUUAAAUGGAUAACUGUAAUAACUCUAGAGCUAAUACAUGCCAUGAUGCCCUGACCCUAUCCACUCGCUGGCUGGGGAAUGGGUGCACUUAUUAGAUCAGAAGCCAACCAGUGCAUGCGUUCGAGCCCUUUCCGGGGUGAGAUCGUGUGGGCUGUAGUACUUCUGGUGACUCUGGAUAAUUGUUACAGAUCGCAGUCGACCUUGAGUUGGCGACGGGUCCUUCAAAUGUCUGCCCUAUCAACUUUCGAUGGUAGGUGACCUGCCUACCAUGGUGAUAACGGGUAACGGGGAAUCAGGGUUCGAUUCCGGAGAGGGAGCCUGAGAAACGGCUACCACUUCCAAGGGAGGCAGCAGGCGCGCAAAUUACCCACUCCCAGUACGGGGAGGUGGUGACGAAAAAUACCGAUGCGGGACUCAUUUAAGAGGCUCCGUAAUCGGAAUGAGUGGACUCUAAAUCCUUUCACGAGGAUCAAUUGGAGGGCAAGUCUGGUGCCAGCAGCCGCGGUAACUCCAGCUCCAAUAGCGUAUAUUAAAGUUGCUGCAGUUAAAAAGCUCGUAGUUGGAUCUCGGUAGCAUUGUUGCCUGCAUAGUACUUAACCGUCAGUGUGUGCGUCGUAUUGUGUGCACGUGUGUGUGUGUGUGUGUGUGCGGUGCUCUGCUCGGCUUUGUCUACCUGCGUUGCCUACCUACUGCGCGUUUUCAUACGCCUGUGUAGUGUAAUGUUUGAAAUUUGGC